UUCGGCUUCCCGGGUUAAAGAGAUUCUCUUGCCUCAGCUUCCCGAGUAGCUGGGAUUACAGGCGCGUGCCACUACACCCGGCUAGUUUUUGUAUUUUUAGUAAACAGGGUUUCGGCAUCUUGGCCAGGCUGGUCUUGAACUCCUGACCUCGUGAUCCACCCGUCUCGGCCUCCCAAAGUGCUGGGAUUAUAGGCGUGAGCCACGACGCCCGGCCUGUAGCUUCUGUUAUUAACAACAAGCAAACGCCCCUGCCCGUACACGUUCCUGAGGGAUAACGGUAUGUUACAAAAGUGCAUCUGAGCUACCACUCCUGGAGGCUCUGUCGGAGUGCCCGCGGGCAUGGGCGCGGUGGAAAAGAGGGAGAACCUGUAGGCCCAGGCCUCCGUAACCAUGGCUGCCAGGGGGCGGGGACUGCGAGCGCAGAUCCCGGGCGGGGUGCCGGCUGGGAGAACUCGGUCCUCCACUGACCCAGCCGGCCACGCGUCCGCGUGUCGCCUCCCCGUCCCGCUAGCAGCACGCUGCGUGGCUGCUGGUUGGCUACUUAGGACGGAAGUUCGGUUGGUGUUUCUGCAGAGGUUUCCCCCUCGAGCGGUGGCAGAGUUUCUGAGUGCGGUAGUAGCAGCUCUGGCGGCAGCAACAGUGACUACGAGGGAUGGCGGCGGCUGCAGCAGGACCUGCAGCAUCUCAGAGAUUUUUCCAGAGCUUCUCAGAUGCUGUAAUCGACCAGGACCCCCAGGCGGCGUUAGAGGAUAUGUGAAUACCAUUAAAAAACUCUGCUGCUGCUCUAGAAACUUUUAUAGAAGGACAAAAAUUAGAUAAGAUGAAAAAUGUGUUUAUGGAUACAUUUACACUGUUAUCUGUUUUAUUCACUGCUGACUCCCCAGUGCCAAGAACAGUGCCUGGGAUGCAUUUUUUUCUUUCUAGGUGCAGAUUUUAAUGUCAGUGACUGAAUUAAAAGGUGUUGAGAAGCUCAGAAUGGGAGACCCUGGCUCGAGACCUGCAAAAGUUUCCCACCAGAGACCUAGGCUGUGUGUUGCUCCAGUAUGUCGAUGACCUCCUGCUGGGACACCCCACAGCAGCUGGGUGCGCCAAAGGAACAGACGCCCUGCUCUGGCACCUGGAGGACUGUGAGUAUAAGGUGUCCAAGAAGAAAGCUCACAUCUGCAGACAGCAGGUACGCCACCUAGGAUUUACUAUCCAACAGGGGGAGCAUAGCCUAGGAUCAGAAAGAAAGCAGGUCAUUUGCAACCUACCAGAGCCUAAGACCAGAAGGCAGGUGAGAGAAUUCUUAGGAGCUGUGGGGUUCUGCAGGUUAUGGAUCCCAAAUUUUGCAGUACUGGCCAAACCUCUGUACCAAGUUACAAAGGGGGGUGACACAGAACCUUUUGAAUGGGGGUCCCAACAGCAACAGGCUUUUCAUGAGUUAAAAGAAAAACUUGUGUCAACCCCAGCCCUGGGUCUGCCUGACCUGACAAAGCCAUUUAUACUAUAUGUGUCAGAGAGAGAAAAAAAUGGCAGUUAGGGUUUUGACCAAGACUGUGGGGCCCUGGCCAAGGCCAGUGGCCCACCUCUCUAAACUUAAACUAGACAGGGUUUCUAAAGAUUGACCCCCGGGUUUGAGGGCCUUAGCAGCAACUGCCCUGCUAGCACAAGAAGCAGAUAAACUAACUCUUGGGCAAAACCUGAACAUGAAGGCCCCCCAUGCUGUGGUGACUUUAAUGAAUACCAAAGGACAUCAUUGGCUAAUGAAUGCUAGACUAACAAAGUACCAAAGCUUGCUCUGUGAAAAUCUCUGCAUAAACAUUGAAGUUUGUAACACCCUGAACCCCGCCACCUUGCUCCCGGUAUCAGAGAGCCCUGUCGAGCAUAACUGUGUAGAGGUGUUAGACUCAGUUUACUCUAGCAGACUUGACCUCCGGGGCCAACCUUGGGCAUCAAUGGACUGGGAGCCGUACAUGGAUGGGAGCAGCUUCGUCAAACCACAGGGAGAAAGGUGUGUGGGAUAGGGAGAAAGGUGUGUGGGAUAGGCAGUGGUAACCCUGGACGCUGUCAUUCAGGCCAACUCAUUGCCUCAAGGUACCUCAGCCCAGAAAGCCGAGCUCAUUGCUUUCAUUCAGGCUUUAGAACUCAGUGAAGGUAAGGCUGUAAACAUUUACACUGACUUCCGGUAUGCCUUUUUAAUCCUCCAAGUGCAUGGAGCAUUAUAUAAAGAAAAGGGCCUGUUGAACUCUGGGGGAAAGGUCAUAAAAUAUCAGCAAGAAAUCUUGCAAUUAUUAGAAGCAGUAUGGAAACCUCAAAAGGUUGCAGUCAUGCACUGCAGAGGACACCAGGGAGCUUGCACUUCAGUUGCCUUGGGAAACUCCCGAGGUGACUCAGAGGCUCAAAAAGCAGCAUCUGCCCCAUACUGGGCAUCAGUCACAGUCCCCCUCAAGCACCUGACCUUGUACCUACUUAUUCUAAAGAAGAAAAGGACUUUCUACAGGCAGAGGGAGGACAGGUGAUAGAAGAAGGAUGGAUCUGGUUACCAGAUAGGAAAGUAGCUGUGCUACAGCUGCUGGGAGCAGCAGUUGUACUGGCUGUGCAUGAAGCCACCUGUCUAGGUCAGGAGUCACUUGAAAAGUUGUUAGGCCAGUACUUCUACAUCUCCCAUUUGUCAGCCCUUGCCAAAAUAGUGGCGCAGUGGUGUGUAACCUGCCGACAGUUCAAUGCGAGGCAGGGUCCAGCCAUUCUGCCCAGCAUACAAGUUUAUGGAGCAGCUCCCUUUGAAAAUCUCCAGGUGGACUUCACAGAAAUGCCCAAGUGUGGAGGUAACAAGUAUUUACUAGUUCUCGUGUGUAUCUACUCUGGGUGAGUGGAGGCUUAUCCAACACGAACUGAGAAAGCUUGUGAAGCAACCUGUAUGCUUCUUCGAGAUCUUAUUCCUAGAUUUGGACUGCUCUUAGGAAUUGGCUCAGAUAAUGGGCAGGCGUUUGUGGCUGACUUGGUACAGAAGACAGCAAAGGUAUUAGGGAUCACAUGGAAACUGCAUGUUGCUUCCUGACCUCAAAGUUCUGGAAAGGUGGAGCAAAUGAACCGGACUAUCAAGAAUAGCUUAGGGAAAGUGUGUCAGGAAACAGGAUUAAAAUAGAUACAGGCUCUCCCGAUGGUAUUGUUUGAAAUAAGCUGUACCCCUUCUAAAAGAAUAGGAUAUUCCCCUUAUAAAAUAUUGUAUCAUAGACCCCCUCCCAUACUACAGGAACUCCCAGACACUCCACAAGAGCUAGGUGAAAUUGAGUUACAAUGACAGCUACAGGCCUGAGGAGAAAUUGCUCAAACAAUUUCAUCCUGGGUAAAUGAGAGGUGCCGCAUCAGCUUAUUCUCCCCAGUUCACCCUUUCUCCCCAGGGGAUCAAGUGUGGAUCAAGGAUUGGAAUGUAGUCCCCUUGCAACCACGGUGGAAAGACCCCAGACCGUCAUCUUGAUCACCCCCACAGCUGUAAAGAUAGAAGGAAUCCCAGCCUGGAUCCACCACAGCCACGUGAAACCUGCAGCCUCUGAGACCUGGGAGGUGAGACCAAGCCCAAACAAUCCCUGCAAAGUGACUCUGAGAAGGACGACAAGCCCUGCUCCUGUCACACCCAGAAGCUGACUCGUCUACGCACAGCCAAAGCAUGAGGAAACUUAUCAUGGGACUUAUUCUCUUUAAAAUUUGGUCUUAUAUAAUAAGGACUUCCACUGAUUUUCCCCGCAUGGAGGACUAUUCCCAGUAUAUUCAUCAGGUCACUGGGAUAGGGCAACAAGUAAAAGUCUUUCUGUUUUAUAGUUAUUAUUGUUGCGGGACAAUCAAAGAUGGGAGAGACCGAACAGAGUGAGUUCAGGAAAGGUCUUUAUUAAAAGGUGAUCACCUGGCUCAGUAGGACUAAUGUCCAGGAAAGUCUGAGCCCCGGACAAAGAAAGCAGCCACCUUUUAAGCAGUCAGUGGCUGGGAGCUACAUGAUGCAGGAAGCGUAUGUACAGAAGCAAGAACAAAGGCAGUUGAUCAGUCUUUUACAUUUAUCUAUACUAUAUGUUCCACAUCCUUGGGAAACCAUGUUUCUGUAUAAACCUUGUAACUUUGCAGCUGCACUAGGGAGGUGAAGGAGGAACUUGCUGAGCCUCAAGGACUGUGAAACUAGCAAGUACAGAUAAGGCUCAAAUGUAUUACAUGAAUCAUUAUCAGUCUGUCUUGCAGGAAGACCUAGGUAGUGAAGAUGAAAGUGAGAACUCCCACUAAUAAGUGAGAUUCUCAAAGGGAGGAAUGAGGAAGGAGACCACCUCUUAUUUUCUCAUACCUCAGAAAAAGAAAGGAAAUAAAAGUUAAAGAAAGGCAAAAAUGAGAUCAAUAGUCAGGCAGCCUAGCCCUGUACACCAGACCUGGUCUGGUAGUUAAAUAUCAACCCCUGACCUAACUGCUUGUAUUAUCUAUAGAUUCUAGACAUUGUAUGAGGAAGCAUUGUGAAACUUUCUGUUCUGUUUUGUCUUAAUUACCGAUGCAUGCAGCCCCAGCCUGUACCCCAUGCUUGCUCAAUUGAUCACAACCAUUUCAGGUAGACCGCCUUAGAAUUGUAAGCCCUUAAAAGGGGCAGGAAUUUCUCUCUUGGGGAGCUUGGUUUUUGAGAGGCAAGUCUGCCGACGCUCCUGGCCAAAUAAAUCUACUUCCUUCCUCAACCUGGUGUCUGAGGGGUUUUGUCCAUGGCUCAUCCUGCUACAGAUACAACUCUAUGUUCCUUCCACCAUUAUCCCAUACCCUUAAUAUCCAUUCCCAUGCCUGUUCUCCAGAUUGCUGUUUAUAUAAAUUAGAGAACUCAAGCAGUUCAAGUGUAGCACACCUCCUCAUGGGUCUUACUCUCAACCUCAUCCUUAGGGGCCCACCAGGACUUUAGUUAUAGAUUUAGAUGCAAACAGAGGUGUUGAGGGUGGCCUCUGAGGAGACUCAACGUUCUCUUGCCUGACAACUGGCUUAGGGGAGGCCAUCACUGUUGCUGCAGGCAGCAUAGGGUUUUUCUCCUCAGACAAAGGUGGAAAGGCUGAUAGCAGCAUAGGUCAGGGAGGCUUUUUUGCCACUACUGGGGAUGGGGAAGCUGUUCCUUCUGGCAAAAAAUGGUUUAUCAGAGUUUAUAAACUCAGUGUCCCCAGCUUCAUCAGGGUCCUCCCACAUGUCCCAAUUCCAAGUUGCCGGGUCCCAUUCUUUUCCAAUCAAUGCCCUCACUUUAACAGUAGACACCUGGUGAGGCAGUGCAUGCAUCUUUCAUUGCUGGUUAGCCACUCGUGUAAGAGCUUGGGUCUGUUUUUCCACAAUUUCAGCUCUUUCUCUACAGGAGAUAAGACUCUCAUUCGGGGCAGUCUUAGCAGA